UACCCCAUGGUGUAACGGUAGCACAACAGAUUCUGGUUCUGUUUGUCGAGGUUCAAAUCCUCGUGGGGUAACCA
rnacentral:tRNA from 1 species